UUGGUUAUGAUUCUGACUUGUGUUAGGAACUAUGCAUUCCUUUUAAUCAAAUGUUUGACAUCAAAUUUCUCUCUCUUUCUUCUAGAUAAAGGAGAGAAUAUACCAAGUCACUGAACAGCAGAUUGCCGAAAAGGUGAAGACUACCACAAAGGACAAUGCACAACUUGCAGAAAAAUUGUCAAGUUAUGAACAGAAGAUCAAUCAAUCGCAGAGGCUUCUUCAGGAGACCAAGAAUCAGAAUAGGAUUCUCUCUGAGGAAGCAAUUAAAUACAAGGUAAAAG